UACGAAGGGGGCUAGCGUUGUUCGGAAUUACUGGGCGUAAAGCGCACGUAGGCGGAUAUUUAAGUCAGGGGUGAAAUCCCAGAGCUCAACUCUGGAACUGCCUUUGAUACUGGGUAUCUUGAGUAUGGAAGAGGUGAGUGGAAUUCCGAGUGUAGAGGUGAAAUUCGUAGAUAUUCGGAGGAAUACCGGUGGCGAAGGCGGCAUCCUGGACCGACAUUGACGCUGAACGGCGAAAGCUAGGGGAGCAAACGGG
rnacentral:rRNA from 1 species